CAUGGCUCAGAUUGAAACGGCUGGGCGGCAGGCCUAACACAUGCAAGUCGAACGGUAACAGGAACAGCUUGCUGUUUCGCUGACGAGUGGCGGACGGGUGAGUAAUGUCUGGGAAACUGCCUGAUGGAGGGGAUAACUACUGGAAACGGUAGCUAAUACCGCAUAACGUCGCAAGACCAAAGAGGGGGACCCUCGGGCCUCUUGCCAUCGGAUGUGCCCAGAUGGGAUUAGCUUGUUGGUGGGGUAACGGCUCACCAAGGCGACGAUCCCUAGCUGGUCUGAGAGGAUGACCAGCCACACUGGAACUGAGACACGGUCCAGACUCCUACGGGAGGCAGCAGUGGGGAAUAUUGCACAAUGGGCGCAAGCCUGAUGCAGCCAUGCCGCGUGUAUGAAGAAGGCCUUCGGGUUGUAAAGUACUUUCAGCGGGGAGGAAGGGAGUAAAGUUAAUACCUUUGCUCAUUGACGUUACCCGCAGAAGAAGCACCGGCUAACUCCGUG
rnacentral:rRNA from 1 species